rnacentral:misc_RNA from 1 species
GGAGCUGGCUUGCCUGCGAAGGUAUCGACUCGGUGAGCCUGAAUCACCGAGUCGAUACCUUCGCAGGCAAGCCAGCUCC